rnacentral:rRNA from 1 species
CAGCAGCCACGGUAAUACGAAGGGUGCAAGCGUUAAUCGGAAUUACUGGGCGUAAAGCGCACGCAGGCGGUUAUAUAAGACAGAUGUGAAAUCCCCGGGCUCAACCUGGGACCUGCAUUUGUGACUGUAUAGCUAGAGUACGGUAGAGGGGGAUGGAAUUCCGCGUGUAGCAGUGAAAUGCGUAGAUAUGCGGAGGAACACCGAUGGCGAAGGCAAUCCCCUGGACCUGUACUGACGCUCAUGCACGAAAGCGUGGGGAGCAAACAGGAUUAGAUACCCGCGUAGUCCCUGUCUCUUAUAA